CUUCCCUGAGCUCCUCCCUUCCCCGUCAACACACCUCUCUGUGCUCUCCUCCCAUCUCACUUCCUCCUCUCUUCCCUGAGCUCCCUCCCUUCCCCGUCUACACACCUCUCUGUGCUCUCCUCCCAUCUCACUUCCUCCUCUCUUCCCUGAGCUCCUCCCUUUCCCGUCAACACACCUCUCUGUGCUCUCCUCCCAUCUCACUUCCUCCUAUCUUCCCUGGAUCCGUUCCUUCCAUUCACCAAUCACCUCCCACAAAUAGGUCAGGAGCUGGUGGGGUUGUUAAAGUGGAACUGCAUUGAUUUAUGCAGUAUGGGAUUUUACGAAGCAUGUUCCAACAGCUCAAAAUCCAAAACGGCCAGUGGUAACUAAAAAUGACGUGCACAUUCCAGUUGACCGAUAGGGCACAGCCAUCUUGAGCGUCACGACCAUGGUCAAUGGCAAUCAGUGUCGGGACAAUGGCUUGUAGCUACGAAGCGCCAAAGUCCAUCUGUUGCCCUGGAUUCUGGAUUUCCAGUGCACACUUCAUUGACGAGAAUUAGAAGAGAAAGUUCAAUGCCUCUGGGAUGCAAACAAUGUUUUCAGAUUGGCUGCAACUUCGGAAUAAACGCGUGGUCUUGUAGCCAGCAAAUGGGCAUUGUGGAUUGCGUCAGGAUCUGUAUAAUUCAAUCGCAGCAGCCAGAGAUAUACUUUAGUGCUUUUAAACAACUGGUUAGUUAACUAUUUUGUCACCUCUGGGGCUAACUAAUCUCUAUGGGCAAAACUAUAUUUCCUGGUUUAAACGGAAACAGCGAUUGGACCACCGCAACGAAUGGGUUGAAAUGCAUAUGCCUUGGGAUGAACAGGGACCAUUUCAAUGAGUCAGUCUUCUCCCAUUUCAAAAAGUACCACCGUAGAUGUGCGGCGUUGAGACGAGACGCAGUCGUGGAGGUCAUUUCAAAAAUGAUGAUGCAACUCGCGUUUCAUGUACAUAUUAGGCAUUACAGAACAUACAAUAUGAAUUUUUAUGGUAUUUUCUAUUAUUAAAUAUACAUAUCACAACUUGUUAUGUCUUAGUUGGUAGAGAAUAGUGCUUGCAAUGCCAGCGUUGUGGUUUCAAUUCCCACAGGGGACAGAAUGAGAAUGAACAAGUACGAAAACAUAAUGCAGUCACUACUGUAAGUCACUGAGGAUAAGAGCAUCUGUUAAAUGACUAAAAUGGAAAUUUGAAGUGAGAGUGAGAUGGAAGGCUCAGAGCAGGCAGAGCUCUCUCUCAUCGACUCAGGAUCUGAGGGACGCCGGGUCUGUGAGACGCCAAUUUAACAGGCUGAGCAGUAAAUACAUACACGCAACACACCUGUCAGGUCUCCGUGGAAGCCUGCCUCUGUUCCUCCGCUCUGCUCAUCUGACUGUUGUAGGACACGGAGACCAAAGGGAGGCAGGAGCAUUGGCUAGAAUCCCUGUUCUCACCGCCAGGACUCCUGUUGGGGUCAGGGACUGACACAGAAAAACACAAGCACAAUGUACACACACAUGCUCUCACAUACAAUAUUAUAGCAUGCACGAACGCGCGCACACCCAUACACACACCCAUACACACACGCAUACACACACCCAUACACACACCCAUACACACACGCAUACACACACGCAUUCACACACCCAUACACACACCCAUACACACAAAGCACUGAUGGGGACACAAACACACAUAGUUAAAGACAAACGGAGGCUAUUUUAGUGCUCUCUGCGUAUGUGUAGGAACAAAAGAACAGGUUGGUACGUCAGAAAGACACCCAAAGAUAUAAACAAGAAAAAAGACAGUCCUUCAAUAAGUAGGAGACAAAGAGGAAGAGAACAGGACAGAAAGUGAGUGAGGGGGGAUUUGGAGAGGGAGAGAGAGACCAAGGUUGCUGGAUGAGGGAGAGAGAGAGACCACGGUUUGCUGGAUGAGGGAGAAAGAGAGAGACCAAGGUUGCUGGAUGAGGGAGAGAGAGACCAAGGUUGCUGGAUGAGGGAGAGAGAGAGACCACGGUUUGCUGGAUGAGGGAGAAAGAGAGAGACCAAGGUUGCUGGAUAAGGGAGAGAGAGACCAAGGUUUGCUGGAUGAGGGAGAGAGAGAGAGACCAAGGUUGCUGGAUGAGGGAAAGAGAGAGAGACCAAGGUUUGCUGGAUGAGGGAGAGAGAGAGAGACCAAGGUUUGCUGGAUGAGGGAGAGAGAGAGACCAAGGUUUGCUGGAUGAGGGAGAGAGAGAGAGACCAAGGUUUGCUGGAUGAGGGAGAGAGAGAGACCAAGGUUGCUGGAUGAGGGAUAGAGAGAGACCAAGGUUGCUGGAUGAGGGAUAGAGAGAGACCAAGGUUUGCUGGAUGAGGGAGAGAGAGAGAGAGACCAAGGUUGCUGGAUGAGCGACAGAGAGAGAGAUGCAGCAGAUGAUAGGAAAGAUAAAACAGACACCAGCACAAUUAGGCGUUCCUGCUGUGUCUCUCACUGAAGCUGGUUCACUGGCCAGCUGUAAGCUCCAGCCUCCCCUACUGCACACUGCAGAUAGCUUCAUGACGGCUCUGUGCACAACUGCGCAUACACACACACACACACAACAGCCCCAGCACACACAUUGCAGCGUUCAAGUUAGCUCAGAGCAGACACUGCAGCUUUCAUGUUUACACAGUUCAGUCCUGCAAACAUGCGCACACACACACACACAUACACACACACACACACACACAUAUAUUCUUUCUGCAGUACUGAUAGCGCUGGGGCGUUCUCCUUCAGCAAGCAUGAGUACACACAGUACAGAGGUAGAAAGACAGGAGCGAGAGAGGGAGAGAAAGAGGUAGAGAAAAAGAGGGGGAGGUAGAGUGGGAGGCAAAUGAAGAGAAGAGACACAGACACACUGCACCUGCAGAAAACACAAGUAUACACCCACACAGUUGAAGAGCAUGCUGAACAUUAUCUUUGUGUCCUUGCUUUGCAGUGAACAGCUCUAAUGGGUGGUUUGUAUGUGUCCUCCAGGCUUUGUAAAUAGAACCACCACCCAGGUCCAGUGAGAAUCACCUAUGCAGCGUGACAGCCAGGACAUCCCGCCUCCAACCACAGCUGACCAUGAGGAUGAGUCAUGAGAGGACAUCAUGACAGACAAACGCAUCAGCCAAUCGGGACGUAGGGGCUCCUCUUAGGCACCGAUGAUUGCAGCAAUACAGGCACAGGACAGCAGGUCCAUUAGAGAAACCCACAUAGCCCCGGCAACAGCCCAUGAUAACCAGACAGACAGACAGACUGACUGACUGCAGUGUGUUCACAGGCUUUCCACAGCUCUGUCUGUUUCUGACGUCUAGAUACAUGACAGCCAUGGUUACUUAGAGACCAGCCCUCCACGGAGAGAGGGGGACGCAGUGUACUGCUCAGCAUCUGGAAUGGUCCCUAUCAUUCUUGGACAACUGGUGAACUGUGAUUGGUCAGACCAGGUCCUCUGUGGCUACGCUGUCUGAGUUCCAAGUGUGUGUGUAUGUCGGGGGUGUGUGUGUGUGUGUGGGUGUGUGUGUGUGAGAAGAGAGCGUAUCAAGAUGUCAUGCGUCAUAAGAUGCCGCCCCUCCACUGGAUGUAUUUUAAUGUGCGCUUAAGUGUUAUACAAUUGUACAUGGCGUGCUUCAACAGGUUCUAAAUAUGAUUAUGAUAUUGAGAGAAAAAAAAUAACAGUAUUUUAAUAUAACGCUCUUCUUCCGAGAUGUAUUUGGAUGUGCAUAUUAUGGCUAUACGACCCCACUGAGUCAAUGUGGAUAUCUGUCCUGCUUUGUGUUCAAUAAAAAAAAAAGAUAGGAUAAAAAAAUAAUAAUAAUCCACAUCAAUAGCCACACCAUCGUAGUACUUAGAACACAGGCCUAAUAUGCUGCUUCAUUCUGAGUGGGUUGUGAGCUGGUGUGGAUAUUGGGUCAAAGUUCACGCAGUCAAAGUUCAGCCAAUGUGCACACAUAACAUGAUGCACAGUAGAUGCCACAUCACCAUGAAGGUGAAGGAAAGGUCAGGCCCUAGGGCCCGGGCUAAUGUCCUCUCUCACGGUACAUCUCAUCACAGACCCCCAUUGAUAUCGCCGCUGUUCUCCAUCACCGAAUGCAAGGCUGCUUUUACCAUAGAAGUAACUGGGACACGACUCGGAACGGAUUCUUAGCACUGUCUCUAUCCUCCCAGUGUGUUCGUAACGUAGCCUCCAUCUAACUACAGCAUCCGGUCAGCUGACACACUCAGCGAGCAUCCAGACAGGAGCAAGUCACCCCACCGCCAAACCUCUCGUUGUUCUAUUGCUCUCAUUAUUUAAUGGUGUACAUAGUAUUUGACGCUGUUUAAAUGGAAGACGUGAUGUACUAAUAUAAUUGUGUAUAGUAUUUCCUAGAGAUGUUUAUUUUCUAUGAAAUGUUAUUGCUUAUAAAAUGUUAUUAAAAGAAUCCAUAAAAAAUUAAAAGACUUUUGGGAAUGUCACUGGUUCUAAGUUGAGCAUGCAGUUUCUUUUUCAUGUUUCUCUUGUUUUAAAUCGAUGACACUACAUCACUUUGUUUGAAAUGUUUUUGUAACGCCGAUGUCAAAUAUACCAGCACCUUUCAAUGCUGCUCAGACCAAG
ensembl:lncRNA